rnacentral:rRNA from 1 species
UCAUACGUAGGACCCAAGCGUUAUCCGGAAUUACUGGGCGUAAAGAGUUGCGUAGGCGGCUUAUUAAGCAAGAUGUGAAAUCGUACGGCUCAACCGUAUACACAUAUUUUGAACUGGUAAGCUAGAGUAUGGUAGAGGUCACUGGAAUUCCAAGUGUAGGAGUGAAAUCCGUAGAUAUUUGGAGGAACACCGAUGGCGUAGGCAGGUGACUGGACCAUUACUGACGCUAAGGCACGAAAGCGUGGGGAGCAAACGGG